GUUUUUUCUGAUGAGGUUUGAUAACUUCAGGAAAAGUUUAUUCUGAUGAAUAUAAAAUUAACACAGGAAAACUGUGACAAACUGUUGAUGGAAUAUUUUUUAAUUUAGGACACAUUCAGUGUGGGUAAAUUACAGAGCAACAAGCAGUGACGCUAGAAUAAAUUUAACACCUAAAAGGAAA